rnacentral:rRNA from 1 species
UACAGAGGGUGCGAGCGUUACUCGGAAUUACUGGGCGUAAAGCGCACGUAGGCGGCUUGGUAUGUCGGGUGUGAAAUCCCCGGGCUCAACCUGGGAACUGCAUCCGAAACUGCCUUGCUAGAGUAUGGGAGAGGGAAGUGGAAUUUCCGGUGUAGCGGUGAAAUGCGUAGAUAUCGGAAGGAACAUCAGUGGCGAAGGCGACUUCCUGGACCAGUACUGACGCUCAGGUGCGAAAGCGUGGGGAGCAAACAGG